rnacentral:rRNA from 1 species
UAGCUACAGGCUUAACACAUGCAAGUCGAGGGGCAGCGAUGAAGAAAGCUUGCUUUCUUCAGGCGGCGACCGGCGCACGGGUGAGUAACGCGUAUCGAACCUGCCUCAUACUCAGGAAUAGCCUUGCGAAAGUAAGAUUAAUGCCCGAUGUUAUUAGGAUAUCACAUGAUGUUUUAAUUAAAGAUUUAUCGGUAUGAGAUGGCGAUGCGUCCCAUUAGCUUGUUGGCGGGGUAACGGCCCACCAAGGCAUCGAUGGGUAGGGGUUCUGAGAGGAAGGUCCCCCACAUUGGAACUGAGACACGGUCCAAACUCCUACGGGAGGCAGCAGUGAGGAAUAUUGGUCAAUGGACGCAAGUCUGAACCAGCCAAGUAGCGUGCAGGAUGACGGCCCUCUGGGUUGUAAACUGCUUUUAGUUGGGAAUAAAGUGCACCACGUGUGGUGUUUUGUAUGUACCAUCAGAAAAAGGACCGGCUAAUUCCGUGCCAGCAGCCGCGGUAAUACGGAAGGUCCAGGCGUUAUCCGGAUUUAUUGGGUUUAAAGGGAGCGCAGGCGGACCUUUAAGUCAGCUGUGAAAUACGGCGGCUCAACCGUCGAACUGCAGUUGAUACUGGAGGUCUUGAGUGCACACAGGGAUACUGGAAUUCAUGGUGUAGCGGUGAAAUGCUCAGAUAUCAUGAAGAACUCCGAUCGCGAAGGCAGGUAUCCGGGGUGCAACUGACGAUGAGGCUAGAAAGUGCGGGUAUCAAACAGGAUUAGAUACCCUGGUAGUCCGCACAGUAAACGAUGAAUACUCGCGAUUUGCGAUACACAGUAAGUCGCCAAGCGAAAGCGUUAAGUAUUCCACCUG